GAAAUAUGAAACUCAAGAGCAAGCUUCUAACUUCCCUCUUUAGCAGUGAAAUUCUGUUAAUAUUUCU
rnacentral:tRNA from 1 species